rnacentral:lncRNA from 1 species
UGAAGGAGAUCGAAAGUAAACCGAGGUGAGCAUUCUACUUACUAGCAGAUCUGGAUAAUUGAUUAGCAGAUAACACUGGAGAGGCAGGUCGGUCAUUGGCAGAUAUAAUCGGAGGAGCAGGUCAGUUAUAGGCUGAUGUAAUAUUUAACUCAGGUAAUAAUAAUCUGCUACCACAUGUCCAGAUGAUGUUGAAGUUGGACUUAUGAUGAGCUCGGCCUUCCGAUGAGAUUGGUUUUCUGAUGAUCUCGGCCUUCUAAUGAGGUCGGUCUUUCGAUGAUGUUGAUCUUAUGAUGAGCUCUUCAAAGGAAGAAAAGUAGUCAGCUAAGCGAC